GUCCCCGCACAAGCAGCGGAGCGUGUGGUUUAAUUCGUUGCUACACGAAGAACCUUACCUGGGUUUGACAUAGCAGUGGUAGGAAAGUGAAAGCGGACCGACCCUUCGGGGAGCUGUUACAGGUGUUGCAUGGCUGUCGUCAGCUCGUGUCGUGAGAUGUUCGGUUAAGUCCGCUAACGAGCGCAACCCGCGUGGUGUGUUACAAGUGUCACACCAUACUGCCGAUAUUAAGUCGGAGGAAGGUGCGGAUGACGUCAAGUCAGCAUGACCUUUAUAUCCAGGGCUACACACACGCUACAAUGGUAGGUACAACAGGUUGCCAAGCCGCGAGGCGGAGCCAAUCCUCCAAAGCCUACCUCAGUUCAGAUUGCAGGCUGAAACUCGCCUGCAUGAAGUUGGAGUUGCUAGUAACCGUAGGUCAGCUAUACUGCGGUGAAUACGUUCCCGGGGAUU
rnacentral:rRNA from 1 species